rnacentral:misc_RNA from 1 species
GAUGAAGAACGUAGCGAAAUGCGAUAAGUAAUGUGAAUUGCAGAAUUCAGUGAAUCAUCGAAUCUUUGAACGCAUCUUGCGCUCCUUGGUAUUCUGAGGAGCACGCCUGUUUGAGUGUCAUUAAAUUCUCAACUACACUGACUUUGAAUUGGUGUGGCUUGGAUUUGGGGGGAAAAUUGUUGUGGGCUUUUUGUAUAGUCUGCUCCCCUGAAAUUGAUUAGCGGUACCUUUGUGGAACUGUCUACAGGUGUGAUAAUUAUCUACAUCUUAGACAUCUGCUGGAAUGCUGCUUUCUAAACCUUACUUGUAUUGACAAUCUUGACCUCAAAUCAGGUAGGACUACCCGCUGAACUUAAGCAUAUCAAUAAGCGGAGGA